AGAGUUUGAUCCUGGCUCAGACGAACGCUGGUGGCGUGUCUUAUACAUGCAAGUCGAGCGGUGCAGCAAUGCAUAGCGGCGAACGGGUGAGUAACGCGUAAGCAAUCUGCCCCCUGUUCGGGAAUAGCCGUGCCAACGCGCGGGUAAUACCGGAUAUCGUGGCUCCCCACCUGGGGAGUUGACAAAAGAUUUAUCGACAGGGGAUGAGCUUGCGUCCGAUUAGCUAGUUGGCGGGCAACGGCCCACCAAGGCGACGAUCGGUAGCCGGCCUGAGAGGGUGAUCGGCCACAUUGGGACUGAGAUACGGCCCAGACUCCUACGGGAGGCAGCAGUAGGGAAUAUUGCACAAUGGGGGAAACCCUGAUGCAGCAACGCCACGUGUGGGAAGAAGCAUUUCGGUGUGUAAACCACUGUCGUGAGGGAAUAAGGCUAUUUUCGGAAUGGUUGAAUGUACCUCGAGAGGAAGCACCGGCAAACUUCGUGCC
rnacentral:rRNA from 1 species